GACGGGUGAGUAACGCGUAGGAAUCUACCCAGUAGAGGGGGAUAGCCCGAGGAAACUCGGAUUAAUACCGCAUACGCCCCACGGGGGAAAGCGGGGGUCUUCGGACCUCGCGCUAUUGGAUGAGCCUGCGUAGGAUUAGCUUGUUGGUGAGGUAAAGGCUCACCAAGGCGACGAUCCUUAGCUGGUCUGAGAGGAUGAUCAGCCACACCGGGACUGAGACACGGCCCGGACUCC
rnacentral:rRNA from 1 species